GCCUUCGUGGUGUAACGGUAGCACACUCGACGCUUAUUCGAGAGGUCCAUUUUCGAGUCCUGGCGAGGGCA